GAUCAAAGGUGUGUACCUGAUCCAAAGAAGAGGCCUCUCACAGCUCUAGCAGCUUGAUAGUAUGUCCCAACGCCCAAACUAAGUGCAAAAGACCAGGGUUACAAAUGUGCUUGGCUCCUCAAUGCCUCCUCAAGCUGGUAAAGUCCUACUGAAAUACCUGAGGAGCUGAGAACUGAGACAGUCUUCACAGACUCAGCCCAACCACCCAUUUAAGAGAACUGAGAAGCUAAGGCAUUGUCUGCUCUCCAACUCCAGAAAAAUUGUUGUAAGAAAUCUAAGGAUGUGCAAUGACUCUGAAGUGGGGGACAGUGCACAUGAACAGUCUUACAGAAAGACAGACUUCUCUUGGGGUUCACAUCAACUGAGCUCAUCCAGUCCUAGUGGAGAGGAUGGACCAUGCAGGUUCACGAGGACCCCGGAGAACUUCUGACGGCUUACAUCUUUGUGUCAUGAGUGCUUCACACAUCCUCAGAAUACCUGGGAAACUCACCCUGCCCUUCACCUUUGGCGCACUUAGACUUCACCUACCACUCAUCUGAUCAUCACUCGGUAAAGCAA
rnacentral:lncRNA from 1 species